CAGCGCCCCCCCCGCCCCCCCACAGAUGGACAGGGCGCAGCUGCUGCGGGGGGAGCUGCAGAGGGCAGGGGCCGUUUUGGGGGUGUCCCUGGGGGUCCUGCCCCGCCUGCGCCGGGAGCUCGAGGGGCUGCGGGGGGGAGCGGCGGCGGCUGCGGCGCCUCCUGAGGCGGCGGCUCCAGGAGCUGGAGGAGACCCAGCGGCAGAUCGAGGCCGAGCUGGAGCGAGCGGCGACCGCCAAGAGUGACGGG